AUUGAACGCUGGCGGCAGGCCUAACACAUGCAAGUCGAACGAGUGGCGGACGGGUGAGUAAUGUCUGGGAAACUGCCCGAUGGAGGGGGGUAACUACUGGAGACGGUCGCUAAUACCGCAUACCCUCAGAUGUGCCCAGAUGGGAUUAGCUAGUAGGUGGGGUAAUGGCUCACCUAGUCGACGAUCCCUAGCUGGUCUGAGAGGAUGACCAGCCACACGGGAACUGAGACACGGUCCAGACUCCUACGGGAGGCAGCAGUGGGGAAUAUUGCACAAUGGGCGCAAGCCUGAUGCAGCCAUGCCGCGUGUAUGAAGAAGGCGUUCGGGUUGUAAAGUACUUUCAGCGGGGAGGCGUUACCCGCAGAAGAAGCACCGGCUAACUCCGUGCCAGCAGCCGCGGUAAUAC
rnacentral:rRNA from 1 species